rnacentral:rRNA from 1 species
GACGAACGCUGGAGGCGUGCUUAACACAUGCAAGUCGAACGAUGAAAUGGAGCUUGCUCCAUGGAUUAGUGGCGAACGGGUGAGUAACACGUGAAUAACCUGCCCUUAAUUUUGGAAUAACCCAGGGAAACCUGGGCUAAUACCGGAUAAGUAAACCUGUGGCAUCACAUGGUUUUGGAAAGUUUUUCGAUUAAGGAUGGAUUCGCGGCCUAUCAGCUUGUUGGUGAGGUAAUGGCUCACCAAGGCGACGACGGGUAGCCGGCCUGAGAGGGUGAACGGCCACACUGGGACUGAGACACGGCCCAGACUCCUACGGGAGGCAGCAGUGGGGAAUAUUGCGCAAUGGACGAAAGUCUGACGCAGCGACGCCUCGUGAGGGACGAAGGUCUUCGGAUUGUAAACCUCUUUCAGCAGGGACGAAGCGAAAGUGACGGUACCUGCAGAAGAAGCACCGGCUAACUAUGUGCCAGCCGCCGCCGUAA